rnacentral:rRNA from 1 species
AUUGAACGCUGGCGGCAGGCCUAACACAUGCAAGUCGAACGGUAACAGGAAACAGCUUGCUGUUUUGCUGACGAGUGGCGGACGGGUGAGUAAUGUCUGGGAAACUGCCUGAUGGAGGGGGAUAACUACUGGAAACGGUAGCUAAUACCGCAUAACGUCGCAAGACCAAAGAGGGGGACCUUCGGGCCUCUUGCCAUCGGAUGUGCCCAGAUGGGAUUAGCUAGUAGGUGGGGUAACGGCUCACCUAGGCGACGAUCCCUAGCUGGUCUGAGAGGAUGACCAGCCACACUGGAACUGAGACACGGUCCAGACUCCUACGGGAGGCAGCAGUGGGGAAUAUUGCACAAUGGGCGCAAGCCUGAUGCAGCCAUGCCGCGUGUAUGAAGAAGGCCUUCGGGUUGUAAAGUACUUUCAGCGGGGAGGAAGGGAGUAAAGUUAAUACCUUUACUCAUUGACGUUACCCGCAGAAGAAGCACCGGCUAACUCCGUGC